GCAAGGGUUUCAGAGGCCAACACUACGUUGACAUCGUAGGGGUCACAGGUUCAAUCCCUGUCGCGUCCACCA
rnacentral:tRNA from 1 species